AACGAACGCUGGCGGCAUGCCUAACACAUGCAAGUCGAACGAGAACUUCGGGUCUAGUGGCGCACGGGUGCGUAACGCGUGGGAACCUGCCCUUAGGUUCGGAAUAACUCCCCGAAAGGGGUGCUAAUACCGGAUAAUGUCUUCGGACCAAAGAUUUAUCGCCUUUGGAUGGGCCCGCGUUGGAUUAGCUUGUUGGUAGGGUAAAAGCCUACCAAGGCGACGAUCCAUAGCUGGUCUGAGAGGAUGGUCAGCCACACUGGGACUGAGACACGGCCCAGACUCCUACGGGAGGCAGCAGUGGGGAAUAUUGGACAAUGGGCGAAAGCCUGAUCCAGCAAGGCCGCGUGAGUGAUGAAGGCCUUAGGGUUGUAAAGCUCUUUUACCCGGGAUGAUAAUGACAGUACCGGGAGAAUAAGCUCCGGCUAACUCCGUG
rnacentral:rRNA from 1 species